rnacentral:rRNA from 1 species
UACACACCGCCCGUCACACCAUGGGAGUUGGUUUCACCCGAAGGUGGUGCGCUAACCCGCAAGGGAGGCAGCCAACCACGGUGGAUCAGCGACUGGGUG